AGGCCAGGCACUACUCUGUCCCAACAAUAAGCCCUGUACAUUGGGAAAGGUGCCGAGACAUGAACUUUGGUCUUCUCUGCAAUCCAUCUGGAGCAUUCACUGACAACAUCGACUUUGAAGUUGCACUGACCUGGCCAGCCCUGCCACUUACCAGGCUGUGGCUUGCCUUUUCACUUCUUGUGUCCUGUUUAAGAAAUAUCUGCUAUCCCAAGCAUCUGGCAUCUUUCUUGACAUAUGUAGCAGUUGCUUUUUGACAGCUUGCUUCUUCAGUGAAUGAAUAAAUUAAUAAAGAGAAAUGUGAUGUUCAGUGAUCCAUUUUGCAGAUAACACUAACAAAGUUGACCUUAGAAUUGGAGUGCCUGGGUUAGAACCCUGCUGGUACCACCUGCUUACUGCAUGCUUCUGAUGUGAGUUCAGGAGAAGACACUGGCAAGGACAGCAAAGAACAGGAGAACACUCUAGCUUCCCUGAUAGCAUUCAAGGUGCUGUCCAAACUGACUGUGAUGGCACCCUCCAGACAGACAGCGAUGCCACAUGUUCAAGAUGGCAGAAUCACUAUCAGCUUCAAUUCCUGAAUGACUGCAGAGCAAAAUUUCUUACCUGCAACAUACACUCUAUUUUCAGCCUCCCUGGACUGUUACAUAAUGAUACAUAAAAAUAUUUCUUGUGUUGAGGCAUCCCAAAUUUGAUUUAUUUGUCAUCACAGUCUAUCCUAUGAAUAUAUUUCUGAUCCAAAUAAUGCUAGAUUCAUGAGAGUUUAUAGUCCAGAGAUUUUUUUUUUUUUUUUGAGACAGAAUCUGUCUCCCAGGCUGGGGUGCAGUGGCAUAAUCUUAGCUCACUGCAACCUCUGCCUCCCGGGCUCAAGUGAUCCUCCCUCCUUAGCCUCCAUGAGUAGCUGGGACCACAGGUGUGCACCACCACACCCCGCUAAUUAUUUUGUAUUUUUUGCAGAGGGGGGUUUCACCACAUUGCCCAAGCUGGUCUCAAACUCCUAGACUUAAGGGAUCUGCCUGCCUUGGCCUCCCAAAAUGCUGAAAUUACACUUGUUAGCCAUAGUAAUAGUUCCUAGCCAUAGUCCGGAGAUAUUUUAAAAACUUUAGUGUGAGUUAUUUCUCUUUGCUAUAAUUCUCUCAUGCAUUUUGAAAACCUUUUCUGCCAUACAGUGGUUUUUGGGAAGUCCUUUUGGACAGACAUAUCACAGGAUGGAGAAACUAAAAAGAGAGAAUGCAUUAAAGAAAAAAUAGUACUUCGUAUUUCAGAAAUUACAAAAGGGUGUCAUGCCCCACAGCAUGGUGGGCAGUCAUUUGUAACCCACAGAACAUUGAGUUUCUAAAAUUUGAGUGUUUUUAACUUACGAAGGCCAACUUUACUGAUGAAGUGAUUACCCCAAAUAUGUGAAAUCCAUAUUUCAAGUACAAUAGUAGGAAAUUGGAAAUGGGCUCUUGAGUUUCUGCUUUCAAGUGACCCUCAGAAAUUCCUCCAUUCACUGCAGAGGUUCUGUUUCUCCUUGCUUUGUUCUGACUUUACGGCAGAACUAAGCUAAUGAGUUAGUUACUAUGGGUUAUCACUUGGAUUUGAAGAACCAUCAUUUCUAGGCAUUGCUGCUCAGAGUGGGUCUGCCCUCAGGGGAAGCUGUCUAACCAGAGCCUAACCCACUAGGGUUUUAUCAGAACCUAACUGACCUGAGGAAAAGAAAUACUCAACUCCAGCAAGCUCCAGCCUUCCAAAUGGAGGAGGAGAAAACCCAACUCCAGCCCACUUCAGCUAUCUUGUCCCACAUAAAGGGGAAGUGGAAGAAACCUGAGAAGCAGGCAUGAAGUUCACAGUCCAGAGGUACAGACACAUCAGAGUUCAGUAUCUGAUGAAUUAGAUGCAAAAACCUCAACAAAGUAUUAGCAAAUUGAAUUCAACAAUGUAUGAAAAUUAUUACAUGCCAUGACUAAUUGGAAUUUAUCUCAGGUAUACAAGCCACGCUGAACAUCUGAAAAUCAAUUCAUGUGAUCCAUCACAUUAGCAGACUCAAGAAAAAAAACCACAUUAUCAUAUCAGUAGAUG
ensembl:lncRNA CASC19 cancer susceptibility 19